rnacentral:rRNA from 1 species
AGUGGCGCACGGGUCCUUAACACGUGGAUAUCUUCCCUCAGGUGAAAAAUAACCCCUCGAAAGAGGAGCUAAUAUUUCGUAAGGCCACAGAUACUUCGGUAUCAGGGGUAAAAGCUGGCCUCUAUUUAUAAGCUAGCACCAGAGGAUGAGUCCGCGCACCAUUAGCUAGUUGGCAGGGUAAUGGCCUACCAAGGCAAAGAUGGUUAGCUGAUCUGAGAGGAUGAUCAGCGACACUGGAACUGAGACACGGUCCAGACUCCUACGGGAGGCAGCAGUGGGGAAUAUUGCACAAUGGGCGCAAGCCUGAUGCAGCCAUGCCGCGUGUAUGAAGAAGGCCUUCGGGUUGUAAAGUACUUUCAGCGGGGAGGAAGGUGUUGUGGUUAAUAACCACAGCAAUUGACGUUACCCGCAGAAGAAGCACCGGCUAACUCCGUGCCAGCAGCCGCGGUAAUACGGAGGGUGCAAGCGUUAAUCGGAAUUACUGGGCGUAAAGCGCACGCAGGCGGUCUGUCAAGUCGGAUGUGAAAUCCCCGGGCUCAACCUGGGAACUGAUUCGAAACUGGCAGGCUAGAGUCUUGUAAGGGGGGUAAAAUUCCAGGU